UUCCCCUAGUAACGGCGAGCGAACAGGGAAGAGCUCAAAUUUGUAAUCUGGCGUCCUUCGGGCGUCCGAGUUGUAAUCUAUAGAAGUGUUUUCCGUGCUGGACCAUGUCCAAGUCCCUUGGAACAGGGCAUCAGAGAGGGUGAUAAUCCCGUCCUUGACAUGACAACCAGUGCUCUGUGAUACACUUUCUACGAGUCGAGUUGUUUGGGAAUGCAGCUCAAAAUGGGUGGUGAGUUCCAUCUAAAGCUAAAUAUUGGCGAGAGACCGAUAGCGAACAAGUACCGUGAGGGAAAGAUGAAAAGCACUUUGGAAAGAGAGUUAAACAGUACGUGAAAUUGUUAAAAGGGAAACGAUUGAAGUCAGUCGUGUCCCUGGGGUUCAGCCAGUUCUGCUGGUGUAUUCCCCUUGGACGGGUCAACAUCAGUUUGGACCGGCGGAAAAUGGCGGGAGGAAUGUAGCCGCUCCGGUUGUGUUAUAGCCUCUUGUCGUAUACGUUGGUCUGGACUGAGGAAUGCAGCUUGCCUUUAUGGCCGGGGUUCGCCCACGUUCGAGCUUAGGAUGUUGACAUAAUGGCUUUAAACGACCCGUCUUGAAACACGGACCAAGGAGUCUAACAUAUCUGCGAGUGUUUGGGUGUCAAACCCGGACGCGUAAUGAAAGUGAACGUAGGAGGGAUCCGUGAGGAGCACCUUCGACCGAUCUGGAUCUUUUGUGAUGGAUUUGAGUAAGAGCAUAUAUGCUGGGACCCGAAAGAUGGUGAACUAUGCCUGAAUAGGGCGAAGCCAGGGGAAACUCUGGUGGAGGCUCGUAGCGAUUCUGACGUGCAAAUCGAUCGUCAAAUUUGGGUAUAGGGGCGAAAGACUAAUCGAACCAUUGUAAUGCUACUCGG
rnacentral:rRNA from 1 species